GCCACCAUAGCUCAGUGGUUGGAGCACUGGUCUUGUAAACAUGGGUCGUGAGUUCAAUCCUCACCGGUGGAU